rnacentral:misc_RNA from 1 species
GCUAGCUCCUUUCUGAGCUCAUGAGCUUUGAAUGUAGCUAUUUUGUAGUAGAAUUCAGAGAUCCCCAUAUGUGUUUAUUUAUUCCUUUAUACCCUUUUUUGAGCAAAUUGUAAAUGGUGCAGCAACAACAGCAUAUGUCUCGUUCAAUUAAAUGUGAAAUAAUUUAGUUUCUUGUAUAAUGGCGUGUUGAAGUUUAGUUGCACUUUU